UGGUGGGUUGCCUUGUCAGGUUGAUUCCGGUAACGAACGAGACCUCAGCCUGCUAAAUAGUCACAGUUGCUUUUGCAGCUGCCCGACUUCUUAGAGGGACUAUUGUCGUUUAGGCAAUGGAAGUAUGAGGCAAUAACA
rnacentral:rRNA from 1 species